UCCCUCCCCGCCCCGGCUCCUCAGGAAAAAAAAGGUGUCCUUUCUCCUUCCCCUUUUAUUUUUAUUUAUUUAUUUAUUUUAUUAACCUCAACCCCAGGCAGAACGCUGCUGCCGCCACCCCCCCCUCACCUCACACACACAUACACACACACACACACAUACACACACACACCUCGCUCCUCCUCACAGAGUCCAGGAACCGGCCCCUUACGCCGCUUCCGUAGCGUAGCGGCCCAUCCGAAGGCGAGGAGCGGACGCGGAGGUAAAAACGCCGGCGCCGUCGUGAAUACCGGGGCCACCUGCCCCCAAUUUCUGUCAUCAGGAACAAACAAGAAAAUGAAGUCAUUUGCUGUUUGGGGGUUUGAAAUAGUAAAUGCCCUUACCUGAAAGUGCACAAGAACGAUGGCUGCCUUAUUCUGGUCUGCAGUGAAAAACAAGCCUAAAACUGAAACUUCCAACAAGAACCAGGAAUAGAAUCCACUCCAUCACAUUACAUGACCUGUAACAGGUAUUUACACACACUAGGGGUAAUAGAGGUGGUGGGGUGAGAAGCUAUAAAUAGGGAGGUAAGGAAGGGGAAUUAAAAUCACAAAGUAUAGAUGGUGACAAUCAAAUUAACGCUUGAAUAUAUGGAGAGGGGUGGACAGAGCUUAGCAAAGCUACUUUGGGAGCUUUUGGAGGGAGGAUUCUGAAGACUGUAGCCCCAAGAACUAUUUUUUCCAGGCCCUGAAAAUAGACACAGUGUCCCUUCACCAUGGCAGUGAGAAACAAUAAAACAACCAACUUAGCAAUGCUUUGUUGUUGU
rnacentral:lncRNA from 1 species